rnacentral:rRNA from 1 species
UUGAUGCAACGCGAAGACCUUACCUACUCUUGACAUCCAGAGAAAUNCAAGAGAGGGUUGGUGCCUUCGGAACUCUGAGACAGGUGCUGCAUGGCUGUCGUCAGCUCGUGUUGUGAAAUGUUGGGUUAAGUCCCGCAACGAGCGCAACCCUUAUCCUUUGUUGCCAGCGGUUCGGCCGGGAACUCAAAGGAGACUGCCAGUGAUAAACUGGAGGAAGGUGGGGAUGACGUCAAGUCAUCCAUGGCCCUUACGAGUAGGGCUACACACGUGCUACAAUGGCGCAUACAAAGAGAAGCGACCUCGCGAGAGCAAGCGGACCUCAUAAAGUGCGUCGUAGUCCGGAUUGGAGUCUGCAACUCGACUCCAUGAAGUCGGAAUCGCUAGUAAUCGUGGAUCAGAAUGCCACGGUGAAUACGUUCCCGGGCCUUGUACACACCGCCCGUCACACCAUGGGAGUGGGUUGCAAAAGAAGUAGGUAGCUUAACCUUCGGGAGGGCGCUUACCCCU